rnacentral:rRNA from 1 species
AAUCAACGCUGGCGGCGUGCCUCAGACAUGCAAGUCGAACGCGAAAGGCUCCUUCGGGGGCCGAGUAGAGUGGCGCACGGGUGAGUAACACGUAGGUAAUUUGCCUUUGGGUGGGGAAUAACUCAGGGAAACUUGAGCUAAUACCGCAUAAUGCAGCGGCUCGACAUCGAGACAGUUGUUAAAGCGGGGGAUUCGCAAGAACCUCGCGCCUGAAGAGAAGCCUGCGGCAGAUUAGCUAGUUGGUAGGGUAAUGGCCUACCAAGGCAACGAUCUGUAACCGGCCUGAGAGGGCGGUCGGUCACACUGACACUGACAUACGGGUCAGACUCCUACGGGAGGCAGCAGUCGGGAAUUUUGGGCAAUGGGCGAAAGCCUGACCCAGCAACGCCGCGUGAAGGAUGAAA